rnacentral:rRNA from 1 species
UGGGGAAUCUUCCGCAAUGGACGAAAGUCUGACGGAGCAACGCCGCGUGAGUGAUGACGGCCUUCGGGUUGUAAAGCUCUGUUAAUCGGGACGAAAGGCCUUCUUGCGAAUAGUUAGAAGGAUUGACGGUACCGGAAUAGAAAGCCACGGCUAACUACGUGCCAGCAGCCGCGGUAAUACGUAGGUGGCAAGCGUUGUCCGGAAUUAUUGGGCGUAAAGCGCGCGCAGGCGGAUUGGUCAGUCUGUCUUAAAAGUUCGGGGCUUAACCCCGUGAUGGGAUGGAAACUGCCAAUCUAGAGUAUCGGAGAGGAAAGUGGAAUUCCUAGUGUAGCGGUGAAAUGCGUAGAUAUUAGGAAGGACACCAGUGGCGAAGGCGACUUUCUGGACGAAAACUGACGCUGAGGCGCGAAAGCCAGGGGAGCGAACGGGAUUAGAUACCCCGGUAGUCCUGGCCGUAAACGAUGGGUACUAGGUGUAGGAGGUAUCGACCCCUUCUGUGCCGGAGUUAACGCAAUAAGUACCCCGCCUGGGGAGUACGACCGCAAGGUUG